GAUGAACGCUGGCGGCGUGCCUAACACAUGCAAGUCGAACGGGGCCGUAGAUGAAGCAGUGUGCUUGCACAGUGCGGAAGAUGCGGCCUAGUGGCGGACGGGUGAGUAACGCGUGGGCAACCUGCCCUGCACAGGGGGAUAACAAUUGGAAACAGUUGCUAAUACCGCAUAUGCGCACAUGCCCGCAUGGGCGAGUGCGGAAAGCGAACACGGUGCAGGAUGGGCCCGCGUCCGAUCAGCUAGUUGGCGGGGUGAAGGCCCACCAAGGCGACGACCGGUAGCCGGCCUGAGAGGGCGGACGGCCACAUUGGGACUGAGACACGGCCCAG
rnacentral:rRNA from 1 species